CUUCUCGCUUCCUGAUCCCCUCCACUGUCUGCACCUCCCUCAUCUCCACCCCAGCCUGGAUCCCGUAUCUCUAAUGUGAAAUCCCUAGGAUGACUCAACCCUGUUCUGCCUCAUCAGCUCCUGCACACACCCCUACGCCAUGGCCAGCUUUCCGAAUGGACCAGCUGGUCCAGGGAGGAGCUCCACCCUCUCAGCUGCCCCCUCCAGUUCUCCACCUGCCCCAAGAGGCGGCUGAGGGCAGGAUCCGGGGUGGAAGUGGUCACUGGGGCUGGACUUGAGGGACAUGAAGGGGCCGGCUGAAAAAUCAGGCAGGGUGGAGAAUUAUGACUGCAUGAUGGCAGGUCAAACCCAUACACAGAAGAUGAUAUCAGAGUGAGAAUCUCCA